GCCGGGCAUUGUAGUGCAUACCUGUAGUCCCAGCUACUCAGGAGGCUGAGGUGGGAGGAUCGCUUGAGCCCAGGAGUUUGAGGCUGCAGUGAGCCAAGAUCACACCACUGCACUCCAGCCUGGGCAACAGAGUGAGACCUUGUCUCUA
ensembl:misc_RNA Metazoa_SRP Metazoan signal recognition particle RNA